AGAUGAGCUGACAGACCCUGGCUGAGCAGGAAGUGGCAGGGUCAGGAAAAGCUAGGCCACAAGUUUUCCCUUGAGAGCCUUAGGUGUCUUUGUGAAGCUUCCUAUCUUUGCUUUUCAACUAAGAUGAAACAGCAUUUAAAAGAAAAUGCCAUGUGAGAUGAGAUCAGGAGAAUGGAUUCUUUCUUUCAUCUGAAUAGAGAGCUGCUGUUCGAGAUUCUAACUCAAAUAGCUCAAAGGACACCUUCUCCGGGAAACCUUCCCUGACUUCCGACGCUGUUUCCUGUUGGAUGUGGUCUUGGAAAAAUUGCUACUUUUUGAAGUCUUGAAGUCUCAAUUUCUUUACCUGCCCCCCCGCCCCAAAAGUCAUUGAAAUCUGUUGUGAAGAUGACAGGAAAUAAAGGGUAACCAGAACAUGAGUUCCACAGUAACUGGAACAUGAGAGGUAGAGCCAGAAGGGGCAUCUAUGUAAAUCAUUUGGAGUUUUUGCCUUUCCUCUUAGAAGAAAAAUAUGAAUGAUUUGACUGAACAGGCCUAUAGCCAAACCCAAGAUGAUCUUUCCAAGCGUGAACUCCAUCUUCAAACUUCUAGUGAGUCUGAGGCCGCAACUGGAAAAAUUUAGAAAUAAUUUCUAAUUCUUGAAAUCUUUGAAAUGUCAAAACAUUAAAACUUUAAGUUUUUGUAUCUUGUUUAAUGUUUAACAAUUUUCUGAAACUUUGGAAAUUAUGUAGGUAUUCUAUUUUGUUAGUUUGGCUUAGCAUAUAUAAAUAGAGCUAUGUCUACAUAUUAAUAGUAGUCUUGUUUUACCUUACCUUUGUUUUUUUGUUGUUGUUGUAUGCCAUCUAGAUCUUAAACCUUAAAGAAGAAACUAUGGCAAUGUCUCUUCCACCACUCUUGACUAGCAUGAUGUGUUGCCAAAAGACUUCAGAUCAUAAGUGCGAAAUAAAAAAUCAAAAAUUGA
rnacentral:lncRNA from 1 species